rnacentral:rRNA from 1 species
UGGGGAAUUGUUCGCAAUGGGCGCAAGCCUGACGACGCAACGCCGCGUGGAGGAUGACGGUCUUCGGAUUGUAAACUCCUGUUGAUCGGGACGAAAAGCUCCAACCCAAUACGUUGGAGACUGACGGUACCGGUUGAGGAAGCCACGGCUAACUCUGUGCCAGCAGCCGCGGUAAUACAGAGGUGGCAAGCGUUGUUCGGAAUUACUGGGCGUAAAGGGCGCGUAGGCGGCCUCCUAAGUCGGACGUGAAAGCCCCAGGCUUAACCUGGGAACUGCGUCCGAUACUGGGAGGCUUGGAUUCGGGAGAGGGAUGUGGAAUUCCAGGUGUAGCGGUGAAAUGCGUAGAUAUCUGGAGGAACACCGGUGGCGAAGGCGGCAUCCUGGACCGAGAUCGACGCUGAGGCGCGAAAGCUAGGGGAGCAG